rnacentral:rRNA from 1 species
AUUGAACGCUGGCGGCAUGCCUUACACAUGCAAGUCGAACGGUAACAGGUCUUCGGAUGCUGACGAGUGGCGAACGGGUGAGUAAUACAUCGGAACGUGCCCGAUCGUGGGGGAUAACGAAGCGAAAGCUUUGCUAAUACCGCAUACGAUCUACGGAUGAAAGCAGGGGACCGCAAGGCCUUGCGCGAACGGAGCGGCCGGUGGCAGAUUAGGUAGGUGGUGGGAUCAAAGCUUACCAAGCCGACGAUCUGUAGCUGGUCUGAGAGGACGACCAGCCACACGGGGACUGAGACACGGCCCAGACUCCUACGGGGGGCAGCAGUGGGGAAUUUUGGACAAUGGGCGAAAGCCUGAUCCAGCCAUGCCGCGUGCAGGAUGAAGGCCUUCGGGUUGUAAACUGCUUUUGUACGGAACGAAAAGACUCUGGUUAAUACCUGGGGUCCAUGACGGUACCGUAAGAAUAAGCACCGGCUAACUACGUGCCAGCAGCCGCCGUAACAC